UGAUGCCAGGGGCAAAAGGUCAUAAACCACGUUGUGCUUGCACAUAAGUGGUUUUAUGCCUUUAUGCUCCGCGAUAUCCGAAUAUGGGGCAGAAUUGUGAGAGUGCGCAGCACGAAACAAUUCGUCAGGCAUCU
rnacentral:sRNA from 1 species